GGGAACGUGGCUCAGUGGUAGAGAGCUUGCCUUGCAUGCAUGAGGCCCUGGGUUCAAUUCCUCAGCACCA
rnacentral:tRNA from 1 species